GACAGUAGUAAGAUGGUAUCUCAGUGUAGGGGAAGCUGUAGCCUACUUAGGGGCUGGCUACAGGUGUGCCUGACCAUGCUUUCGAGGGCGUGGUCAGGGUGGCGUAGAGUGACUGCGUUUUCUCUUUCGGUUUCACUUUGGUACUUGCUGGACAGACUGCUGCCACGCCGGCUGGCUAGGUCGCUCUGCAAGAACAUGAUAUCAUGAAGAAUAUGGAGAAAAUUCAGGACUGUAAGAUGGUGGAAACAGGAAGUAGUCUCAAGGUUGGCUGGUCUCAGGCUAGAGUUUGCUCCCCACUAACGACUCACAGAAGCCAGGAAAUGACCACCUGUGAGAUUAUCAUCUUGUGUCCUUGCCAUGAACUGACUGUUUAUGUGCCUCCCAAAUCCACGUGGCAAGUCUUACCCUCUAGUGCUAUGAUAUGAUGAGGCUGGGUCUCGAGGAAGGAAUUUGGUCACAAUGGCAGAGCUCCAAGGAAGGAAAUGAGUAUCUUUCUCAAGAGAGAGAAUCUCUUUCUCCUGGCCAAGUGAGGAUGCAGAAAAGACCACCCUCUGCCAUGCAGGAAGAAGAAGCCCCUGUAGUGGCAUCUUGUUCCAUCAAUAGACUUGAGGUAAUAACCACACCUUAGGGUGUGGCUUCAGAGUGUGUGAGUGUGACCCCUUAUAAGGAGGAGGGGCUGGCUUGUUCUCUCUUGGGUUGUGGAUGGAGCAUCCUGAAGGGCAGAGACUGCAUCUCCAGGAGGAGAAGACCUCGACGGUUAUUUAACCACCAUUGUGUGCAUGUUUCCCAAAUAAAU
rnacentral:lncRNA from 1 species